AUUGAACGCUGGCGGCAGGCCUAACACAUGCAAGUCGAACGAGUGGCGGACGUGUGAGUAAUGUCGGGGAAACUGCCUGAUGGAGGGGGAUAAAUACGGGAAACGGGAGCUAAUACCGCAAACCAUCGGAGGUGCACAGAUGGGAUUAGAUAGUAGGUGGGGUAAAGGCUCACCUAGGCGACGAUCCCUAGCGGGUCUGAGAGGAUGACCAGCCAAACUGGAACUGAGACACGGUCCAGACUCCUACGGGAGGCAGCAGUGGGGAAUAUUGCACAAUGGGUGCAAGCCUGAUGCAGCCAUGCCGCGUGUAUGAAGAAGGCCUUAGGGUUGUAAAGUACUUUCAGCGGGGAGGCGUUACCCGCAGAAGAAGCCCCGGCUAACUCCGUGCCAGCAGCCGCGGUAAUAC
rnacentral:rRNA from 1 species